GACGAACGCUGGCGGCGUGCUUAACACAUGCAAGUCGAACGGAAAGGCCCUGCUUUUGUGGGGUGCUCGAGUGGCGAACGGGUGAGUAACACGUGAGUAACCUGCCCUUGACUUUGGGAUAACUUCAGGAAACUGGGGCUAAUACCGGAUAGGAGCUCCUGCUGCAUGGUGGGGGUUGGAAAGUUUCGGCGGUUGGGGAUGGACUCGCGGCUUAUCAGCUUGUUGGUGGGGUAGUGGCUUACCAAGGCUUUGACGGGUAGCCGGCCUGAGAGGGUGACCGGCCACAUUGGGACUGAGAUACGGCCCAGACUCCUACGGGAGGCAGCAGUGGGGAAUAUUGCACAAUGGGCGGAAGCCUGAUGCAGCAACGCCGCGUGCGGGAUGCCGGCCUUCGGGUUGUAAACCGCUUUCGCCUGUGACGAAGCGUGAGUGACGGUAAUGGGUAAAGAAGCACCGGCUAACUACGUGCCAGCAGCCGCGGUGAUACGUAGGGUGCGAGCGUUGUCCGGAUUUAUUGGGCGUAAAGGGCUCGUAGGUGGUUGAUCGCGUCGGAAGUGUAAUCUUGGGGCUUAACCCUGAGCGUGCUUUCGAUACGGGUUGACUUGAGGAAGGUAGGGGAGAAUGGAAUUCCUGGUGGAGCGGUGGAAUGCGCAGAUAUCAGGAGGAACACCAGUGGCGAAGGCGGUUCUCUGGGCCUUUCCUGACGCUGAGGAGCGAAAGCGUGGGGAGCGAACAGGCUUAGAUACCCUGGUAGUCCACGCUGUAAACGGUGGGUACUAGGUGUGGGGUCCAUUCCACGGGUUCCGUGCCGUAGCUAACGCUUUAAGUACCCCGCCUGGGGAGUACGGCCGCAAGGCUAAAACUCAAAGGAAUUGACGGGGCCCCGCACAAGCGGCGGAGCAUGCGGAUUAAUUCGAUGCAACGCGUAGAACCUUACCUGGGUUUGACAUGGAUCGGGAGUGCUCAGAGAUGGGUGUGCCUCUUUUGGGGUCGGUUCACAGGUGGUGCAUGGCUGUCGUCAGCUCGUGUCGUGAGAUGUUGGGUUAAGUCCCGCAACGAGCGCAACCCUUGUUCACUGUUGCCAGCACGUUAUGGUGGGGACUCAGUGGAGACCGCCGGGGUCAACUCGGAGGAAGGUGGGGAUGACGUCAAGUCAUCAUGCCCCUUAUGUCCAGGGCUUCACGCAUGCUACAAUGGCUGGUACAGAGAGUGGCGAGCCUGUGAGGGUGAGCGAAUCUCGGAAAGCCGGUCUCAGUUCGGAUUGGGGUCUGCAACUCGACCUCAUGAAGUCGGAGUCGCUAGUAAUCGCAGAUCAGCAACGCUGCGGUGAAUACGUUCCCGGG
rnacentral:rRNA from 1 species